CCUUUCCCCCUUCAGAAGGAGCUGUUUGUUGAAACCAUAGCCAAAGAUGCUUAUGUGUACGCCCAGCAAGGAAAAAGGAAAACUCUGCAGAGAAAAGACCUUGAUAAUGCCAUUGAAGCUAUCGACGAAUUUGCUUUUUUGGAAGGUACUUUGGACUGAGCUGAACAGAGAUUGAACUCCCUGGAGAAAGAGACUGCAGAGAUGGUGUGAGAUGGAAAACAGGAUGCUGAGAGUUCAAAAAUGAUUCCUGGAAUUGAAACACUGAAAUGGCAACCAUGAUAUUUUGUAUAAAGUUGAAGUUAUUGUAAGCUCUUUAUUUAAAAUGCAUAUUUUUCCAUAACUAUUUUGUAUGUCACUUCCCCCUGCCCUGCAGCUGCUCUCUGUUCUGGCCAGGUUACACAGCAGUUACUCUGUUCUGGUCUCUCUGGGUGCUCUGCAGCACCACAGAGCUGUGAGCAGAGAGUGGCUCAGCUCAGGUGCCCAGGCACAGGGAAUUUUUUUUAAUGGAAAUGUGGGUUUUGUUAUAUAUGUUUGUCUCUUAACACAAUUAAAUUUUUAUUUUUUUGUUGUUGUUGA